rnacentral:rRNA from 1 species
CGGAAGGUGCGGCUGGAUCACCUCCUUUCU